AAGGUACUCCCUCCGUUCCGAAUUACUUGUCGCAAGUAUGGAUGUAUCUAGAUGUAUGUAGAUGUAUUUUAGUUCUAGAUACAUACAUCUAGAUACAUCUAUUUCUGCGACGAGUAAUUUGGAACGGAGGGAGUACUUG
rfam:Triticum aestivum genome assembly, contig: Triticum_aestivum_CS42_TGACv1_scaffold_000124_1AL